UGUCCGACUCUUGUGACAUGUUUGAUCCAAUGAACUCGCUCCCCUUUUCCUGGAGCCUCAGCCUCUGGUGAAACUGGACUUUCAAGUCUGUGCAGGUGAAGGUGUGUGAGAGCGCCCGAGAUGGCAGAACAAGAGCUACAGGGUACAAGCCCGAGGGACGAGCUGCGCGGUGAUUGGCUGCGGGGCGGCCUCAGGUGAGCUGCCAUUGGCAGAGGCGCGCUCAGGUAAGGCCCUUCUCCAAGUGCAGGUAACUCACUCCGAAGUUUACCCGAGUGGAGCGGCGGCACGUUCGCGGCGCGGCGGCAGCCCGUGGGAGCCGAGGGGAUUAUGGGUGGAACGGAAGGACUAAGGAGAGCUGAACUCGGGAUCCCCAGCCAACCGGAAUCCAAGGCGCAGCGCAACCACCGGCCUUUUUCGGGCCCACAAUUGAGAGGACUGUUCGACGGUUUCCGAAGAGUUUGAAGUUUACUUUGCUUUGCUCAGAGGAGGGGAAAACACAACGAUUGCCGGGUUUGUUGCGUGAUUUCAUUUGUAACAUACCCACAACCAGCACUUUUCGUGCCCCAAUUUGGUGUAAAAUAUGCCCAGUAGAUUACAGCUUUUCUAAGAGCUUGGGAUUCCAGAGCUGCAAACAACCACUGUUCCAUAAGCCUGUUGUCUUUUGACGUUUCCAGGCAGACAUCAACAUUGACAUUGUAAUUCAAUAGAAGCUGUGACUACAAAGGUGCUUUAUCCUUCCAGGUUAAUAUGGUUGCUACGGAAACAAUUCAGGAUGAAGCUGACUUUUUUUUUUUGUGGUUCUGCUUCACUUGGUUGGAAACAACUCCAACUAGCAAAGGUGCAAUUCAUUUAUAAUCACUGCUCCCAAAGUGUGUUUGUGAAAGUUUUUUAUAGGGAUCUAGCCCAUACUUAUGAAUUGUGGAACUGAAGGGGGAUGUGAAAAGCUUACCAUAUUUUAUUCCAUGUUACAUUGCGAGAGUUUCAUACAACUUUUAUUUUAAUCUUUAUGGAUCAGAUGUUUUCUAAAAAUUGCAUUGUGAAACAAUGUUUGGUUGUUCCGUGUUUUCACCUAUGGCAAAUGAAUUUCAAAAGUUUAUGCUUACUUUUUAAAGACAUUAGAAGUACACACAGUUUUUAAAGAUUAUAUAAUAUUUUAAGGUUAUAUACAUUACCCACUUCUUCUUUACCUUCUUAAUCACCUUCUGAGAGGCAACCACAUUCCACUUGUAUCUGUCUCUUUUGUCAUUUACCUCCAGACUUAUCAAUAAAUGUCAUGGUUAUCUCUUGA